rnacentral:rRNA from 1 species
AGCCUGAACGCUGGCGGCGUGGCUAAGACAUGCAAGUCGUACGGGUGUAGCAAUACACCAGUGGCGGACGGGUGAGUAAUGUAUCGCUAACGUACCCCGAAAUCUGGGAUAGCCAUCCGAAAGGAUGGGUAAUACCAGGUAACAUCACCGGAUGGCAUCAUCUGGUGCUCAUAGGGUCACCGUUUCGGGAGCGGGCGAUAUCGUAUCAGCUAGUUGGCGGGGUAACGGCCCACCAAGGCGACGACGCGUAGCCGGACUGAGAGGUUGGCCGGCCACAUUGGGACUGAGACACUGCCCAGACUCCUACGGGGGGCUGCAGUAACGAAUCUUCCGCAAUGCACGCAAGUGUGACGGAGCGACGCCGCGUGUGGGACGAAGCCCUUCGGGGUGUAAACCACUGUCAGGGGUUAGAAAGUUCUGAUCGACCCCAGAGGAAGGCACGGCUAACUCUGUGCCAGCAGCCGCGGUAA